rnacentral:rRNA from 2 species
CCGGGUGGUUAUUGCAGGGGGACCAUACCCGUUCCCAUCCCGAACACGGCCGUCAAGACCCCUAGCGCCGAUGGUACUCCGUCUCAAGACGUGGGAGAGUAGGUCGCUGCCCGGU